CCUACGGGAGGCAGCAGUGAGGAAUAUUGGUCAAUGGGCUCACGCCUGAACCAGCCAAGUAGCGUGAGGGAUGACUGCCCUACGGGUUGUAAACCUCUUUUGUCAGGGAGUAAUUGGCGCUACGUGUAGCGUUAUUGAUAGUACCUGAAGAAAAAGCAUCGGCUAACUCCGGGCCAGCAGCCGCGGUAAUACGGAGGAUGCGAGCGUUAUCCGGAUUUAUUGGGUUUAAAGGGUGUGUAGGCGGAAUGCCAAGUCAGCGGUAAAAUCGCGGGGCUCAACCUCGCUCCGCCGUUGAAACUGGCGUUCUUGAGUGGACGAGAAGUAUGCGGAAUUCGUGGUGUAGCGGUGAAAUGCAUAGAUAUCACGCAGAACUCCGAUUGCGAAGGCAGCAUACCGGCGCCCAACUGACGCUGAAGCUCGAAAGCGUGGGUAUCGAACAGGAUUAGAUACCCCAGUAGUC
rnacentral:rRNA from 1 species